rnacentral:rRNA from 1 species
GACAGAGGUGCCAAGCGUUAGGCGGAAUCACUGGGCUUAAAGCGUGUGUAGGUGGAUUUGUAAGUACCUUGUGAAAUCCCAUGGCUCAACCAUGGAACUGCUCGGUAUACUGCGAAUCUUGGGCCACUUAGGGGCUACCGGAACAAAUGGUGGAGCGGUGAAAUGCGUAGAUAUCAUUUGGAACGCCAAUGGUGAAAACAGGUAGCUGGGAGUGUGCUGACACUGAGACACGAAAGCCAGGGGAGCGAACGGG